UACGUAGGGGGCGAGCGUUGUCCGGAGUUACUGGGCGUAAAGCGUUUGUAGGCGGUCCACCAAGUUUGGGGUGACAGUUGCCGACUUAAUCGGCAAAGUGCCUCAAAGACUGGCGGACUUGAGGGCCACAGAGGGACAUGGAACUCCAGGUGUAGUGGUGAAAUGCGUAGAUAUCUGGAAGAACACCAAAGGCGAAGGCAGUGUCCUGGGUGGUCGCUGACGCUGAGAGGCGAAAGCCAGGGGAGCGAACGGG
rnacentral:rRNA from 1 species